UACGUAGGGUGCGAGCGUUGUCCGGAAUUAUUGGGCGUAAAGAGCUCGUAGGCGGUUUGUCGCGUCGACUGUGAAAACCUACAGCUUAACUGUGGGCUUGCAGUCGAUACGGGCAGACUUGAGUUCGGUAGGGGAGACUGGAAUUCCUGGUGUAGCGGUGAAAUGCGCAGAUAUCAGGAGGAACACCGGUGGCGAAGGCAGGUCUCUGGGCUGACACUGACGCUCAUGCACGAAAGCGUGGGGAGCAAACAGG
rnacentral:rRNA from 1 species